rnacentral:rRNA from 1 species
UACGUAGGGUGCGAGCGUUGUCCGGAUUUAUUGGGCGUAAAGGGCUCGUAGGCGGCCUGUCGCGUCGGGAGUGAAAGCCCACUGCUUAACGGUGAGUCUGCUUCCGGUACGGGCGGGCUAGAGUAUGGCAGGGGAGACUGGAAUUCCUGGUGUAGCGGUGGAAUGCGCAGAUAUCAGGAGGAACACCGGUGGCGAAGGCGGGUCUCUGGGCCAUUACUGACGCUGAGGAGCGAAAGCGUGGGGAGCGAACAGG